CGUAGCGAAAGCGAGUCUUAAAAGGCGUUUUCAGUCGCUUGUCCUGGACCCGAAGCGGGAUGAUCUAGCCCUGGGCAGGUUGAAGCGCGGGUAAGACCGCGUGGAGGACCGAACCCACCUGGGUUGAAAACCGGGGGGAUGACCUGGGGCUAGGGGUGAAAGGCCAAUCAAAUUCCGUGAUAGCUGGUUCUCUCCGAAAUGCAUUUAGGUGCAGCGUCGGUCGAUUGCGUCGCGGGGGUAGAGCUACCGGAUGCUUGCGGGCCCUUGUUGGGUACCAACAGCAGCCGAACUCCGAAUACCGUUGACGUGUAUUCCGGCAGUGAGUCGGCGGGGGAUAAGCUCCGUCGUCGAGAGGGAGACAGCCCAGACCGUCGUCUAAGGUCCCGAAGCGUGUGCUAAGUGGGAAAGGAUGUGGAGUCGCAUAGACAGCCAGGAGGUUGGCUCAGAAGCAGCCAUCCUUGAAAGAGUGCGUAACAGCUCACUGGUCUAGUGGUUCCGCGCCGACAAUGUAGCGGGGCUCAAGCACACCACCGAAGACGCGGCAGCAAUCUUCAUGGUUGCUGGGUAGGAGAGCGUCCUGCGAGGGGCGAAGCGGCCGGGUAACCGUGCCGUGGACUUCGUGGGAGUGAGAAUGCAGACAUGAGUAGCGAGAGACGGGUGAGGAUCCCGUCCGCUGGAUGACCAAGGGUUCCGGGGCCACGUUCGUCGUCCCCGGGUGAGUCGGGUCCUAAGGCGAGGCCGACAGGCGUAGUCGAAUGGAUGAACGGGUGGAUAUUCCCGUACCGACCAUGGACCGGCAAAACCGAGACGGUGAGUACUAACCUCCGCCUCGUGGUGGUUCCUUCCUUCGGGUUGGUUCCGCCGCGUGGUGUUGGGAGCGUAGCCGCAGUAGGUCAGCGCAGGGGUGACACGGAAUGGGAGCCGGCCGCGGAGGUGGUUUUCCGUGGUCAAGCACGCAGCCAGUCAUGUAGGCAAAUCCGCAUGGCGCGCAUGGCGAGGUGUGAUGAUGGGAGCCGUUAUGGCUCGAUAUCCGGUUGUCCAGGCCGUCGAGAAAAGCCUCGGCGUGAGGGCCAUGGCCGCCCGUACCCCAAACCGACACUGGUGGUCAGGUAGAGAAUACCAAGGCGAUCGAGCGAAUCCUGGUCAAGGAACUCGGCAAAUCACUCCCGUGCCUUCGGUAUAAGGGAGACCCGCUGGGGUGAACCGGCUAGCCCGGGGGAGCUUUGGUGGGUGGCACAGACCAGGGGGUAGCGACUGUUUACCAAAAACACAGGUGCAUGCGAAGGCGAAAGCCGCUGUAUAUGCACUGACGCCUGCCCGGUGCCGGAAGGUUAAGAGGAUCCGUCAGUCCUUCGGGAUGAAGCGGUGAAUUCAAGCCCCGGUAAACGGCGGUGGUAACUAUAACCAUCCUAAGGUAGCGAAAUUCCUUGUCGGGUAAGUUCCGACCUGCACGAAUGGCGUAACGACUUCCCCACUGUCUCGACCAGGAGCUCGGCGAAAUUGCAGUACGAGUAAAGAUGCUCGUUAAGCGCAGAUGGACGAAAAGACCCCGGGACCUUUACUAUACCUUUGUAUUGCGUUAGGCGCGGAUUGUGUAGCAUAGCGGAAGGCUUCGAAACGUGGGCGCCAG
rnacentral:rRNA from 1 species